rnacentral:rRNA from 1 species
AAAUUGAAGAGUUUGAUCAUGGCUCAGAUUGAACGCUGGCGGCAGGCCUAACACAUGCAAGUCGAACGGUAACAGGAAGAAGCUUGCUUCUUUGCUGACGAGUGGCGGACGGGUGAGUAAUGUCUGGGAAACUGCCUGAUGGAGGGGGAUAACUACUGGAAACGGUAGCUAAUACCGCAUAACGUCGCAAGACCAAAGAGGGGGACCUUCGGGCCUCUUGCCAUCGGAUGUGCCCAGAUGGGAUUAGCUAGUAGGUGGGGUAACGGCUCACCUAGGCGACGAUCCCUAGCUGGUCUGAGAGGAUGACCAGCCACACUGGAACUGAGACACGGUCCAGACUCCUACGGGAGGCAGCAGUGGGGAAUAUUGCACAAUGGGCGCAAGCCUGAUGCAGCCAUGCCGCGUGUAUGAAGAAGGCCUUCGGGUUGUAAAGUACUUUCAGCGGGGAGGAAGGGAGUAAAGUUAAUACCUUUGCUCAUUGACGUUACCCGCAGAAGAAGCACCGGCUAACUCCGUGCCAGCAGCCGCGGUAAUACGGAGGGUGCAAGCGUUAAUCGGAAUUACUGGGCGUAAAGCGCACGCAGGCGGUUUGUUAAGUCAGAUGUGAAAUCCCCGGGCUCAACCUGGGAACUGCAUCUGAUACUGGCAAGCUUGAGUCUCGUAGAGGGGGGUAGAAUUCCAGGUGUAGCGGUGAAAUGCGUAGAGAUCUGGAGGAAUACCGGUGGCGAAGGCGGCCCCCUGGACGAAGACUGACGCUCAGGUGCGAAAGCGUGGGGAGCAAACAGGAUUAGAUACCCUGGUAGUCCACGCCGUAAACGAUGUCGACUUGGAGGUUGUGCCCUUGAGGCGUGGCUUCCGGAGCUAACGCGUUAAGUCGACCGCCUGGGGAGUACGGCCGCAAGGUUAAAACUCAAAUGAAUUGACGGGGGCCCGCACAAGCGGUGGAGCAUGUGGUUUAAUUCGAUGCAACGCGAAGAACCUUACCUGGUCUUGACAUCCACAGAACUUUCCAGAGAUGGAUUGGUGCCUUCGGGAACUGUGAGACAGGUGCUGCAUGGCUGUCGUCAGCUCGUGUUGUGAAAUGUUGGGUUAAGUCCCGCAACGAGCGCAACCCUUAUCCUUUGUUGCCAGCGGUCCGGCCGGGAACUCAAAGGAGACUGCCAGUGAUAAACUGGAGGAAGGUGGGG